rnacentral:rRNA from 1 species
GACGAACGCUGGCGGCGUGCUUAACACAUGCAAGUCGAACGAUGAAGCCGGAGCUUGCUCUGGUGAAUUAGUGGCGAACGGGUGAGUAACACGUGAGUAACCUGCCCUUGACUCUGGGAUAACUGCGGGAAACUGUAGCUAAUACCGGAUACGACCCUCGGAGGCAUCUCCUGGGGGUGGAAAGAAUUUCGGUCAAGGAUGGACUCGCGGCCUAUCAGCUAGUUGGUGAGGUAAAGGCUCACCAAGGCGACGAGGGGUAGCCGGCCUGAGAGGGUGACCGGCCACACUGGGACUGAGACACGGCCCAGACUCCUACGGGAGGAAGCAGUGGGGAAUAUUGCACAAUGGGCGCAAGCCUGAUGCAGCAACGCCGCGUGAGGGAUGACGGCCUUCGGGUCGUUAACCUCUUUUAGCAGGGAAGAAGCGAAAGUGACGGUACCUGCAGAAAAAGCACCGGCUAACUACGUGCCAGCCGCCGCGGUAA